GAUGAACGCUAGCGGCAGGCUUAACACAUGCAAGUCGAGGGGCAGCACGGGUAGCAAUACCUGGUGGCGACCGGCGCAAGGGUGCGUAACGCGUGAGCAACAUGCCCUAUACAGGGGGAUAAUCCAGGGAAACUUGGUCUAAUAUCCCAUAGUAUUUAGAGGAGGCAUCUUCUAUAAAUUAAAGCUUCGGUGGUAUAGGAUUGGCUCGCGUGACAUUAGCUAGAUGGUGAGGUAACGGCUCACCAUGGCAAUGAUGUCUAGGGGUUCUGAGAGGAAGGCCCCCCACACUGGGACUGAGACACGGCCCAGACUCCUACGGGAGGCAGCAGUGAGGAAUAUUGGACAAUGGAUGGAAAUCUGAUCCAGCCAUGCCGCGUGCAGGAAGACAGCCCUAUGGGUUGUAAACUGCUUUUAUAUGGGGAGCAAUAAGGUCUACGUGUAGACUGAUGAGAGUACCAUAUGAAUAAGC
rnacentral:rRNA from 1 species